GCCAAAUGUCUGCAGAAGAUAUCGCCGAAAGAAUCUGCUGCAGGAGGAUGCCGUAAAUGUUUGUAUCACGAAGUGUGCCGAGCGACGUCCCGUCUCGAGAAGGAAGCGCAUGAAAUGGUGCCGUAGGAUGCUGGAGAAGGGUGUAUGUACGUAUAGUG